UAGUUCGUAAUAAAUUCACAUAAAAACACACCAGAAGAUCUCCGAUUUUAUUUACAAAGAUCAUAUUUUGUUAUUUAUUGAUAAAACAAGCCAUUUUACCACAGCAGAUGACACAUAUUAGGCCUGAAUAAGACUUUAGAAUUUGAAGUGGUGGUGACGAUGCCGAUAUCCAAGAUGGCGGAAUUAUACCAGUGGUCAAACCUCAUCUAUUUUGGGUAAUUGCAUCAUUAUUUCUUUUUGUGAUUGGUGAUUUGUAAAAUUGAGAAUGAUUGAAAAAUCAGUAUUUUUUCACCCAAAGGCAUGAGUGAACAUUUGAUAAGUUUAUUGUGAUUUAAUUGGUAAUUUGGUCGACAUUUUGACAAUUAUAUUUAGCAAUAUUUCGAUAAAUGCGGACCUGCUUCUUCCUCUUUUCGCAGUGACGGUGUUUCGAUAACUCAGUUAGACUUCGGGAUCUACAUUUUCGACAAAGGCCUGGUGUAAUAUUAUUACGUACUUGAUGAAGGUAAUAUUAAUUUCUUCAAAUUUGAAGCAUGACGUUAAUGGAGUACCAGCACAACUUCAUUGACUGCUACGUGGCGCUGGUGGAAACUAAGGUAUUGCAUCGCUCAUAUCACUUGAAAAAAACAUUUACCCUAGUUACGACCAAAGCUGCUUAGCAGAGGGCGAUACCUCAUCAGGAGCGCCACAAUCAUAUCAUUGGUGUGAAAGCAUUUGUAUGAAGUUUUUCAGUUCUCAAUGUGUUCGAAACCUUAAUUGUGAAUUUGUGCACUUCGAAUUCAAAUUUACGUCACUACGUUAGUUUGACAUCCAUUGAUGUCACGGUAAUUUCACUGUUAUGCUGUGCUGCUUUCAGGUUUAAUGACACGAAUGAGUACAAGUACAUUACAUUUUUCGACGAAGGCCUUCUGUAAUUUCAUACGCUUCUUACGCAACAUUCAAUAGAUUUAUUUACUGUAUUAUCAUUUCGACCAAGGCGAAUUCGACACUUCAAUUACACAAGGUUAGUAACUUUUGUUCACAAAAUCCAAAUGGAGGCAAAUACAGAACAAUCAAACUUAGUCAUUCCAGUCAGUUACUGAAGCACAGUGAAAACUGUCGGGAGCAGUGCAACUGAUGGCAUGUCAAACUUCCAGUGACUGUCCCUGUCCAUAUAUUUCAAGACAGUACAAAUCUUGUAAUCAUUUUGUUUAUGCAAUGUACGUUAUUAUGUAUCAUUUCAGCACAAUCAAACUUAGUCAUUCCAGUCAGUUACUGAAGCACAGCGAAAACUGUCUGAAUUAGUGCUGCUGAUGGCAUGUAAUUACUCUACUACCACUACCAGUGACAGUCAAUGUCCAAAUAUUUUCAAGUGUGCGAAAUUAGUACUCGUCUACUUCUUAGUGUUAUUUGAAUGCAAUGUAUGUUAUAAAAAUAUUUUUUCAACACUAUAUCAACAUUCUCAUUCCUGUCAGUUUCUGAAAAUCAGCUAAAGCAAUCGCUACCAAUGCAGCUGAUAACAGCAAUUCUUUUUGUUCCCAAUGCCCAUCCAUGACAAUAUAUUUCACGCAUGUGACAAUCAUGUAAUCGUCCUGUUUUUUGUGUUCUAUUCAUGCAAUAAAUAAAUUCAGUAUUUUCAAAUCAUUGGUGCUACAAAACUAUUCUCAUUAUAGAUUAUUCAUAUUUUAUAAAAUGCUGUCAUGUCAAAUUUUGUGUCCUAUAAAUCAUAAUGAAGUCGGCAUUUUAUAUACAACUUUUGUACUCCUCCUAAAUAAACAUACAAAUCUUGUUUUAUGUAAACUUUGUAUAUGUGACCCGUCACAGCAAAACCAGGCGCAUGUCGCUCUGAGCUUGGCAGGUUGAGACGGACUGUUCUAAUCUUUCAUUAGCGACACCAUUUCUUACCAGAGUGCCUCCUUCAUUCAUACAUCUUGUACUUUAACUUAAGAUACCCAUCUUUGAAUAUUUUUAGUAUACCAAGUACUACAAUGUCAAUGUAUUGAAGUCAUGUUCUUGUAGUGUUAUUGGCUUUCUAUUAUCUUGUCAAAAUACCACUUGGUUCUCGCAAAAUCUCAAUAAAAACAAAUGCUAUUGCAUGUAUUGCAUAUUCUAACAGCUAUCCACUGUAUCGAUUUAUCCAUCAUCUGUACUAUUUGUCACAAAAAUGUUAUAUUAUGUAAAUCAUAUUUCAUUACAUAAUGCACACUGCCAAUUACUGCUGAACCAUUCAUA